CUUUGAGCCACACAUUUACUUUUUACUCCUUAUGAGCAUUGAGUGUGGUCAAGCUGUGUAGACCCUUAGGAGCUUGUCAUGCGGUUAAAAUCAAGAUUCACUUGCACGUUCACUCACACAUGCUGCUUCUACUCCGGAAGCACGCAUCCACAUAUAUCCACCCAUUUCCAUCUCCAGAACCACCCAAAAAUAUUCUACUCCUAAUCCGGGAGAGAAUAGCCAAAAACAUUUCUGUUUUUCCUUGUGAAAUAAAUGCUCAAGUUAUCUUGGUUACUACCACUUGCUAUAUUAUUUCAGGAAAUGAGUGCUCUAAAAAAAAGAAGAUACGAGAAAAUAAAAACGGCCAAGUGCCCGGAACCUCGAAAGUAAAGAAAAAGUGAGACGAGAGGUAAAAAUGGACAAGUGUCCGAGAGUAGAAUUAGGGGUACAAGAUACCCACCUGAGAGAAAUGAAAAAUAAAAUACAGAGCAUCUCAUUUUCCCCAAUAGUUUCAAAAGAGCAAGAAAGGUAUGUAUCCCCUCAAAAGAGCACAAGUAGAAUUAGACUUUCACCAUUGUUAUCACCAUCAUCACCAUACACCAUUUAUUCACCAC
rnacentral:lncRNA from 1 species